rnacentral:rRNA from 1 species
AAUGAACGCUGGCGGCGUGCUUUACACAUGCAAGUUGAGCGAGGCCACCCGCAAGGGUGAGUCGAGCGGCGAACGGGUGAGUAACGCGUGGAUAACCUGCCCUGAGGUGGGGAAUAACCCGGGGAAACUCGGGCUAAUACCGCAUGAUACCUAGCGGUCAAAGAGGGCUCGCAAGAGCUCUUGCCACAGGAGGGGUCCGCGUUCGAUUAGCUAGUUGGUAGGGUAAUGGCCUACCAAGGCGACGAUCGAUAGCCGGCCUGAGAGGGUGAUCGGCCACACUGGAACUGAGACACGGUCCAGACUCCUACGGGAGGCAGCAGUGGGGAAUUUUGCGCAAUGGGCUAACGCCUGACGCAGCAACGCCGCGUGGAGGAUGAAGGUCUUUGGAUUGUAAACUACCUGUCAGCAGGGGAAAAAGGGAGGGGACCUAAUACGUCCCUGACUUGAUUGUACCUGCAGAGGAAGCCCGGCCUAACUCUGUGCCAGCAGCCGCAGUAAU